UUCGCCAUCGACCGCCGAAACACCGCAGCCAUGUUGUUUUCUUUCAGAAGGUUCCGUUGUAACUUGUGAUAUGCAACCAAUUUGCGCACUGAAGAGAAGGUAAACAAAUACCUAACGGCAUGGAGACCAACUCCAAGUAAGAAAAGGGAAAUAAUCACAAGGAAUCAACAAUCAAACCUCCCGAAUUAACAUGCUGUUCAGGCUUUGGACUGCGGCCACGCUGGAGCAAUGCCUGAUGGUUUGAGUCGAAGAAACCGAGGUUCUCAAUAAUUGUAUUUAUCAUCCAAGAAAUGGUGAUGGUGGCGCUGGUGGCAAUAUUGGUGCCAUUGGUGGAUGAGAGGAUAACAAACAAAAGAAAAAAACAAAAAUAAUGACGAUAAUAAUGAUAAUAUUUAAAAAGGGAAUGAAGAAGAAGAAGAAGAAGAAGAAGAAGAAGAAGAAGAAGAA